ensembl:lncRNA
AAAUGGAAGCUUCAAGCUUGCUUGUUCUACUAAAUAGUGAUCCACUGAAAAAGCUCUUCUAGAUUUUAUUGUAGAAUACAAAAAGAAAACAUAACAACAAAAUCGUCCUAUUUGUAUCAGUCUGCCCUAUGACUCAAGGAAGAACUUCCAAUGGAAAAGGCUCUGGUUCAUACCAGCUGCAAGAAAUUUGUUUAUAAUGAUCAAUUCAAACGAGCAAACAGAUAUUGAACGCCUAUAACCAGACAGAAUCUGGGUUAAGCGGCAGGAAACAAAACAAGGAACCAAAUGUUGUGUCUGCCUUUCAAAGCCUCAAUUUACAGGUGAGGAAAACAAUAUGAGGUCCAAAAUGUUUGGUAACUUGCCUCAAGAUAAAAGGUAGAAUAAGUGUUGGUCUCGUCUGAGGAAGAGAUGUUAAGAAGCACUUCUGCAGUGUUUCCUCCAGAUCAUUUUGUCUAAUCCUCUUUUAACCAUAGGACAUCUCAUCUCUCAUAAACUUUAUGGAUCCUUGGGAAAAAAUAAAGAGGAUGUGACAAACCAGGAGAACCAGGUCUUUUCCAGUAUUCCUCUUCCCCUCCAUCACUUUCGGUCACUCCCUGCACCAGAUGAAGUACAUAUAACUCUGAUUUAAAGGAAGAAGACUUUCUCUGCAAGAUGAAGGAGAGUUUUAGGAGAUUAGAUUCCCAGAUGAUGAUGUAAAAAGGUUGAACUGAAAAUAACAACCAGUCUUACACAUGCCAUUCCUCUGCUGCAGUGGUAAAUGACAGCUGUGGUCUCCACGAG